GUUGCUCUCGAGACUGCGUCGGAGCCCGCAGGCAGGGCCGCGGGAAGCCGGCCGGGCCGCCGCCGCCAUGCUCGGCCGUGUGCGCGCCGCCGCCAGCCACGGGCUUGCAGCCGGACGCCCGGACUCGGAGACACGAUCCGCUGAACGCCCGCAAUAAGAAAGAAAACCCACCCCACGCUGCUCUCCACCUCAACGAGGUCCGGAAUGGGAGGCGGGGUGCGGUUCUCGUCCAAGUUCUACCCCAUUUGCUUUGUGGCUGCAUCCGAAACGGACGUGCCCCGGGAAGGCGUCCACGCUCCAAGACAAGGUUGCCUCAGUGCAGUUUCUACAGCCCGAGUUUAAACUAGUCCUUUGCAUUCUACCCAGCCCUCUGCAAUGCGGAUGUAUUUUAAUUCUUAAAUUCUUUAUGGAACAGCUUUCUAAGUUGGGCUUGAUUAUUUAACCUUGCAUUUCUUUCAUAGUUGAAGUUGACGUGUCUAGAUAAGGAUCAGCUCUCUUGAAGAGGCAUUCAGCUUUUCCAUUAAAUAUAUUUUUUUACAAAACCAGUGCCCCGAAGGUCAUCUCUCAUUACACACACCACAAUGAUCAAAAAGGGAAAAUAUUAACACCAAUUUGUCUACCCAACUUAAAUAAACUUUCCUCUUACGUUGCAUUAUUCCUAAGGUAUGUUCAUUUGGCCUUUUUUGAAAAAAAAAAAGAGUUAUUUAAUUUAAAGCAUGCAGCUAAUCACAGAUCACUCGAGUGCAUAUUUGGUUAAUCCCUCGGUCCCCCUUUCCUCCCUCCCCUCAAACUUAAAAAAAAAAAAAAGCCACCACACACAAAACAAAAACACUCCCCAUGCCAAUCAAAACGUAGCUGUACUAUGCACAAAACAAAUUUAACUAUUCCAAGCCAUUUAAAUCUAGGAAUAAUCACCCAAUUUCAGAAGCCCAGUUAACAGGGAGAAAUUAUUUGUAGUUACUUACAUAUGCAUUCACGUACACACUUAAAAACAUUAGCCAUAGUGUGUGUCCUUUUCCCCUACAACUGGAAACCAUGAAUUUUUUAAACAAAACCAGCCUCAUUAUUAAAGUCAAUCCCAACAAAUGCAUUCGCUGUAACAUGAUUCCCAACUGGUUUAUGUUGCAAACCAGAUAAGCCAAAACGACCACAGACAUUAAAUUUGAUGUGCCAGUGCAAAGAGAAGAUCGCCAUAAUCGGACCCUCGAUCGCAACUUAAAGGGCUUCCAACACACAUGCGUUACACGAUUUUUCCAAAUAACAUUAAUAAUAAUAACACAGGCUCAUUUGCAUGCAAAGUGCAAUACGGGGCCAAAUCCGCUUGAGAAUGCAGUUUAGUUACAUUACCGCAGCCACCCCCCACCUCAAGCUCCACCAAAAUCCCUUGCCUUUCAUCUAAAAGUAGAUUAUGGUUGUGUCAUUCGAGGUCAAUUUAUUCACUUGAGGUAUCUCUACACCAGUCUGUUUUUUCAACCAAACUAGGCAGACACCACUUUGCUUGAAAAGCCCUCUUUCAGAAAAAAAAGAAACAGCCUUAUCGGACGCUGUGUUUAAAACCCUUCAGAGGCAGAAUUAUCUAUAAACUUGACAUUCACAGCCAUUGCUUAAAACUGCAAGUCAAAGGAUGUGUUGUUAGGAGCACUUACGUAUUUCUUCUGAAUGAUAUUCCUCUUGGGUCUUUCCUUGCUCAUUCUGAGAUCCAAAUGCUGAUUGCAAAAGGGGACAAUUGCUUCAUGAAUUUAAAGCCGUCAGAAAUUUGCAAAAAAAUAUCCUGGUGGUUUUUAUUGUUGUUGGUGGUGGUUGAUCUUGUAAUCCGACUUUUCUUCCUCUUCCCCCAAAGCCAGAUUCGCCUUGAAAUAAAUCCGAAAUUGGGAAGGAAAAAAAAAGAGCCAAAGACGAACGAAGCAAACAAAAAAAAAUUCACUUUAGUAAAACACUCAUAAUGGAAAAUUUCCCCCGAAACACAUACACACACACACAAAAAAAAACCGACGCCCUUCACUCCCCCCCCUUUUUCCUCCAAAAACUACAUCAGCGAAACGUGAAGGUCCUUAGUGUCUGAUCCGUAGUUACAUCUUGGAAAAGAAAAGGGAAAGAUAAAUAAAAAAUGUUGGAAGUCACGUUUGUGCUGCAGCAGCAGUGCGAGCAGAAGAGUCAACUCCAGCGGCGGCGGCGGCGGCGGCGGCAGCACCACAGCGAGGGCUCGCCGAGUCUCUUUUUUCCAAGCCCCCUAACCAAUGAGAGAGAGGCUAUCCAGCCCAACUUUAAAUGGACUCUGCUUUUAUACAAGUUAGGGCUCCUCGGAUAAUUCCCCGCCGGGCGCCAGCCGAAAACUCCCACCGCUCAGCCGCCAGGCGCCCGCUUAGCCUGGUGCCGACCGCCCCUGGCCCAGUCCAGGGCACCCCCGCAGCCUGGCCAACCAGACACCCGAGCGACCUCGACGAACCCCUCCCAGGCAAGCCCUCGGGCGUCGCUCCCACGCCGAGCCCAGGCGUGGAAUUGAGAGAGGCUCCCUAGCUCAAUGCAUGGCACGCUCCGUCGCUCCACCUCACCCCCUUUCCCCUGCCUGCCGCUCACCCCACGGCCGCCCCACGCCAGCCCCCGCCACUGCCUUCGCGUCUACCUGCAGCCGGGCUGCUGGGUAGGAGUGCCCCAGGACGCCCGGCCCCGGGGAGAGCCGCCUAUUCCCGGGGCACCUUAGAAUGGUCCCCUUGAUCUUCUGGAAGUUGUAGUCCCCCGACUACAAAAUGGCUAUGGCCACGGAAGCUGGGAACUACAAUUCCCAGCCUGCCCCGCAAAGCCUGUCACUCAACUCCCCUCCCUCCUCCUCGCCCCCUCCCCCUCACUGGCCGUGCCAACAAACGCUUGGACGUGUCCCGCGUGCGACACUGCUAGAGGCUGGCUCGGGAUUGGCCCGCGGAGCGUGUGGUCCGCGAGCGAGGAACUCCCCACGCCGGCCCUCCUCCGCCCCCCGGGCCCCGGCCCCCCUCCCCUGGCGGCCGCCAGCCCCCUCCCCGCGCGCCCCGCCCCCACCCGCGGCGCGAACCGCCUGUGGAAUCGAGGAAUCGCGCGCGUGCGGCCCGGAGCCGCGGGGGAGGGACGCGAGGCUUCCCCGGGGAAGGCCUCGGAGCGUGGCGGUGAGGGGGGCGGUGUCAGGGAGGGGUUGGAGCCCGUCCUAAGGAAAACUGGGCCACGCACCAAGAGGAAUCCUCGGUGCGAACUAGUUGAUCGGCGGCGCCUGCUGCUUGUGCCGUGCAGCCGGUGUCACCUCAGGACAGCGCCUCGCGUCUGUGUACAGAGCGUGCUGCGGGCGCCUAGGGUAGUCCGAGGUCACCCCUCUCCGCGCCCCGCAGUCGCGCACGCCCCCACGCGCGGGGUGGGCGGUGGCCGGGGGUCGCCGAGUGGAAAGGCCACGCCCCCCCACGCCCGGGCUCGGCACGCUGCCCCUGGGUCGCGAACGCGCCUCCGCUCGACCCGCUUGGAGGACGUCGCUGGUGGCCCAGGAGUGAAGCCCCGGCGGCUGCCUCCUGAGAAAAGAUAGCCGUGUUUAAAGAGACUGAACGGGAUCUUUGCUUUGCCGGGCGUAUUUUGUGAUAAAAUACCACAAAAUGUUGAGACAAAAAUGAGUGGAAUAUGGAGACCGAGCCGCACAGACACGCAAUUGUAAGGAAACAUCUCGAACACCGAGUGCCAGGAAUAUCAACUGUCCGGGCCACGCAAGAGCCUGCUUUUUACCUGCCUCCAGCCCCCUGUCGUGCUGGUUUAAUCGCUGAAACAAAUGAAGUAGCAGGCCCUGGCAUAGCGCUUUGGGCCUUCGCCUUAUUAACAACUUUGUCAAGUCUCGCAUCGCGAUUCUGCCUUGUUAAUUUCCUUGUUUUUCGCUGUGGUUUUGGAGAAGCAAUGUUUUCCAUGAUCUCUCAGGCUAGCCUCGGAAUAAAACGUGGCAGAAGCGCUCCCGCGAACACAUACCCAUAUAUUUUAUUCUACCUAUUCCCUAGAGUCUGCUAACUUCAAAAGUCUAGAUACUCACACAGCUGUUUACUUGCAGCAGUAUUUGAAGAGAUAACCUUGGUGUCUAGAAAGGUCUCAGAAACUGGAGGUAAGAGACCUGGAUUCAAAUCGCGCCUUGGCCACUUCCCAAAAGGCAACCGAGAGCCUCUCUGAGCUUGUCAGUUUCCGCAUCUGCAAAUUAGUGGUGAUCAAACCUGUGGGGAUGAUUAUGUGAUAAAUAACAGUAACCUAGUUUAAAACUAGGCACGUUAUUGGAAGCUUUCAGUAAACGAAAUAAAAAGCCU
rnacentral:lncRNA from 1 species